rnacentral:rRNA from 1 species
GACACGACUCUCGACAAUGGAUAUCUCGGCUCUCGCAUCGAUGAAGAGCGCAGCGAAAUGCGAUACGUGGUGCGAAUUGCAGAAUCCCGCGAACCAUCGAGUCUUUGAACGCAAGUUGCGCCCGAGGCCGUUCGGUCGAGGGCACGUCCGCCUGGGCGUCAAGC